rnacentral:rRNA from 1 species
GUCCACGCCCUAAACGAUGUCGACUGGUUGUUGGGGGUUUGACACUCUCAGUAACGAAGCUAACGCGUGAAGUCGACCGCCUGGGGAGUACGGCCGCAAGGUUAAAACUCAAAGGAAUUGACGGGGACCCGCACAAGCGGUGGAUUAUGUGGAUUAAUUCGAUGCAACGCGAAAAACCUUACCUACCCUUGACAUGUCCUGAAUCCUAGAGAGAUCUGGGAGUGCCCGAAAGGGAACGGGAACACAGGUGCUGCAUGGCUGUCGU